CUUGACUUCCUUCUUCCAAUUUCCUGGAGAUCUAUGAAGAGAAGCCAUGAAAACACACGGCAGCUCUUCAGGACUCCAGCUGAGACGGCAGCUGAUUUCUUUCUCCAGAAAGCAGGCCAUACAUUACAAGGCUUGAGAGAUAGAAGAUGACUGCCAGGGGGAGCCAGGCAUUGUGAAAAUGACAAUGCUAUACAAAUAAUUUAUUAUAAAUAAUAAAUGUAAUAAACUCUUUUUACAUUUAUUAUUAUAAACAAAUAAUUUAACUCUAA